AUGAAGCCUCCAUGACGCACCCAGAGAAUCCCUGAAGAGGCUUUGAAGCUCAGUGUUUUGGCUCCAGCAUUUCAUCAGUGCCUGAUUCCUUCCAGCUCCCAGAUAAUCCAAAAAUGACGAAAGAUGUGGAGCUGGGGCGGGCCAUGAAAACCUGUCUGGGACAUGAAUGGCACCAGGCUGUUACUUAAAAGUGGCUACAAUGGUUCAAAUAGUUGUCUCCCAGAAGAAACAGUGCAUGGAUGCCAGGUGUGGCUGUGAUGUUGUCAGCCCGUGAUUGGUUAGCUAGCUGCCCACCUGCAGGUGAUUGACCCUGGAUCGAUGAGGCCAAAUGCUUAAGGAACCAGGAUGACACUACCUUGAUGCAGGGAAUCUGCCCGUCUACCAGAUGAUAACUCACAGAGACGACGCCGGGUCCUUCGAGGAGCGGGCCGGCCGAUCGGGGCAGGGACAGCAAGGGUCCGGGUCCACAUCCACAUCCACAUCCACUAUCUGGCGGACGGCUGGGGGAAAGACGCACGCUGCUCUGUCGGCUGA